rnacentral:rRNA from 1 species
AGAGUUUGAUCCUGGCUCAGAACGAACGCUGGCGGCGUGCUUAACACAUGCAAGUCGAACGAGAAAGGGACUUCGGUCCUGAGUAGAGUGGCGCACGGGUGAGUAACACGUGGAUAAUCUACCCAAUGAUCUGGGAUAACACUUCGAAAGGGGUGCUAAUACCGGAUAAGACCACGGGUUCUUCGGAACUUGCGGGAAAAGGUGGGGACCUUCGGGCCUACUGUCAUUGGAUGAGUCCGCGGCCCAUUAGCUAGUUGGUAGGGUAAUGGCCUACCAAGGCUACGAUGGGUAGCUGGUCUGAGAGGAUGAUCAGCCACACUGGAACUGAGACACGGUCCAGACUCCUACGGGAGGCAGCAGUGGGGAAUUUUGCGCAAUGGGCGGAACCCUGACCGAGCAAUGCCGCGUGAACGAAGAAGGUCUUCGGAUUGUAAAGUUCUGUUAUUGGGAAAGAACGAUCAAUAGAGGAAAUGCUAUUGAAGUGACGGUACCCGAUUAGAAAGCCCCGGCUAACUACGUGCCAGCAGCCGCGGUAAUACGUAGGGGGCGAGCGUUAUCCGGAAUUAUUGGGCGUAAAGCGUGCGUAGGCGGAAUGUUAAGUCAUUUGUAAAAGAUCUCAGCCCAACUGAG